UACGUAGGGUGCAAGCGUUGUCCGGAAUUAUUGGGCGUAAAGGGCUCGUAGGCGGUUUGUCGCGUCGGGAGUGAAAACUCAGGGCUUAACCCUGAGCCUGCUUCCGAUACGGGCAGACUAGAGGUAUGCAGGGGGAGAACGGAAUUCCUGGUGUAGCGGUGAAAUGCGCAGAUAUCAGGAGGAACACCGGUGGCGAAGGCGGUUCUCUGGGCAUUACCUGACGCUGAGGAGCGAAAGUGUGGGGAGCGAACAGG
rnacentral:rRNA from 1 species